CCCGCUGAACUUAAGCAUAUCAAUAAGCGGAGGAAAAGAAACUAACAAGGAUUCCCCUAGUAACGGCGAGUGAAGAGGGAAAAGCUCAAAUUUAAAAUCUGGCAGUCUUUGACUGUCCGAGUUGUAGUCUAGAGAAGUGUUUUCCGUGUUGGACUGUACACAAGUUUCCUGGAUACGGAACAUCAUAGAGGGUGAGAAUCCCGUCCUUGACACAGACUACCAAUGCUUUGUGAUGCGCUCUCGAAGAGUCGAGUUGUUUGGGAUUGCAGCUCAAAAUGGGAGGUAAAUUCCUUCUAAAGCUAAAUAUUGGCAAGAGACCGAUAGCGAACAAGUACCGUGAGGGAAAGAUGAAAAGCACUUUGGAAAGAGAGUUAAACAGUACGUGAAAUUGUUAAAAGGGAAACGCUUGAAGUCAGUCAUGUUUGCUUGGACUCAACCUUGCUCCCGCUUGGUGCAUUUCCUUGUAGACAGGCCAGCGUCCAUGUUGUUUAUUGAAAAAGGGGAGAAAGAAUGUAGCUUCUUUGGGAGUGUUAUAGCUUUCUCUCGUAUGCAAUGACUGAUAUGGAGUGGUACAGCAUGCCUUUGGUGGUGCUUGUGCUGGCAUAAUGGCUUUAAACGACCCGUCUUGAAACACGG
rnacentral:rRNA from 1 species